rnacentral:tRNA from 1 species
GCGGAAAUGGCGGAAUUGGCAGACGCACCAGCUUGAGGGGCUGGCGGCCGCAAGGUCGUGGAGGUUCGAGUCCUCUUUUCCGCACCA